UCUAAACCUAAUAUAACUAAAUCAAACAGCGCCCCUCCCCCUUUUAACCCUAUUGCUGCCAUCAACACGCCCCAGCCACGCCAGCUCCACCUCAAUCCCGCCCACAUGAUCCCCCUCAUCUCAUCCUUCACGUCACCCAACCAUAGCGACUUCUGACAACAGAAAAUAUUCCAUUUCCCCCUUCUCACGCGCUCUUGCUUCUUUUUGAUGGAAUUCGGAUCAAUGGUAUACGUAGGAUUUUAAGAUUUUAAAUCCUAGUCUUCCAUUUGUCUUAGAACCAUCCAGAAAAGAGAACAAAAGGGGAUUUUUGUUUUGGGCAGAAGGUUUUCAAAUUUAAGGGGGUCGAAGAAAAAGAGCGAGGGUUUUGAUUUGAGGGUUUCUAUAUUCUCCUCUUCUUUUUUGUUUUUUCAUGUUUUGAGAUAUAUAAAGAAAAAAUAUAUAUGUCAAAUUCGUCUGGUUUCAAUUUUUCAAAAGUCAAAAAUACAAAAAAAAUCAGUUUCUUUUUUUUUAAUUCCUCUAUUCUGGACUUGCUUGAUUUUACUCGAUUCAGUGGUGUAUUUUUGUUCAUUGAAAGCAAAUCUCAGGUUAUUUUUAUCCCCAUGCUUUAUUUUGGUGUGAUCAGCGUGUGACUGAUUUCAGAAUAUGUGUUAUACUCCAUGUUUUAAGUUGUUGCUCUUUUAACUUUGUAUUAAUUGGUUGUUGUAUGUGUUAUUAAUGAAUAUGUAUUAGAAUGUAGGAAUUGUUUAUGGAGCUGAAAAUAGCCUGUGUGUGUUCUGGUCUUCCACUUUACAUAGUUAUGAAGGUCGGAUUUGCUUGACUUUGGUAUGAAUGAUUGAGGUUUGAUCUAGUCUAUGCUUGAUAAAUGAGAUGCAAUUGUUGUUUAUCGAUUCAUUGACAUUUACAAAACUUCUCGCACAUCUCGAAUUCAAUACAAGUAUAUGAAAUUAUCAACCAGUUAGUUUUUUUACUGCUGUUUUGUUGCUUAGUCAGUUGCAUUUAUUAGAACAUGCUACGAAUGCCGGAAGUUUAGUGAUUCAUGUUUGUCAUGAAGCAGUAGCUGGUUUAGAUUUCAGUCAUCUAAGAGGAAUUGAUUUAACUUAGGUACCUUGUUAAGGAUUGGUUCACUCUUGUCAUGUUUGAUUUAGCUUUGUAUUCAUGUGGACUAUUUUUCCUCUACGUCAAUGCGCUUCCUUUGAUUGACGACACCAAUUAGAGGAUCUUCACUUUCUAUCACUUUAUGCCAAUUUACAGAGGCACAACAUUUGACUUGUAUUUCGCUUGGCAUCAAUCUCAGUUAGCUUAAGUUCGUGGUUAGUUAAGUCCAUUUUUUAGGAGCAAUCACAAAUCCCGCGACCUUAAUUUUGCCUAAAUACAUGUAUUUCUCCAUUGUGGAGCAUGAAUAGAAUAGGCUACUUUUCUCUUCUUCUUCUUCUUCUUCUGAUUUUUCUCAUUUCUCAUUCUGAUAAUUUGAUAAGUAACACUCUUAUUAGAAUUGGUAUUUUAUUUCUUCUUGUUGUUGAAAUAACAGUUGCAUUGGUGUGAAUAUAGCGAUCCUAAGGGAUUAGAGGUUGCAAGUUGGUUGACAGUAAGAUUAGAUAUGGCAAGGCUGUGCUGGAAAUGGAUUUAUAUGUAAGUUAUGAGCUCAUCUAUAUCUGUUGAAAUGAUAUAAAGAAAAGGGACCUUGUCCCAUAUUUUGUCAUUUGGCAUUUUCAACAUGUUUUUGCUUUAGUCACAAUAGAACUCACUGGUAUGAUUAAGUUGGUAUUUGCUUGGCGUGCAUAAUUGAGUGUUAUGUUGUCUUGUUGGUUAAUGAUCACCCGAGGUUAUUUUGCUCAUGGGCUUAAGAAUAAAACUACUAGUGAUAAGAGAUUGAGCUUAAUAUGCAUUGACGGGCCUUUUCACGCAAUCAUCGAUGUAACGACCCAGCUGGUCGUUUCAUGAGUUACCGCUCUGUUUCCCCCAUUUCUACUUCUUUAUGCUUUAUUUAUCCGUAUUAUGUGGUAUCGGGUUAGUCGGAUCGAAUCCAGAAUGGUUUUGGUACGGUUUGAGGCACUUAGUCUCUUUUGAGUAAACUUAAGUUGGAAAAGUAACCGGCUGUUGACUUAUGUGAAUAAAGGCUCGGAUGUGAAUUUCGAUGGUUCAGAUAGCUUCGGUAGAUGAUUUGGGACUUAGGAGCGUGAUCGGAAUGGGAUUUGGAGGUCCGGAGUAGAUUUAUGCUUGAAUUGGCGAAAAUAAAAUUUUGGCAUUUUCCGGUUGAUAGGUGAGAUUUUGACAUAGCGGUCAGAAUGGAAUUACGGGAGUUGAAGUAGGUCCAUUGCGUUAUUUUGUAUGUGUGUGCAAAAUUUUAGGUCAUUCGGAUAUGGUUUGAUAUACGUUUUGAUUAAAAGCGGAAUUCGGAAGAUUUUGGAACCUUAGGCUUGAAUCCGAUGUGUUUUGGUUGAUUCGAUGUUAUUUGAGGUAUUUUGAAGAUUUGUAUAAGUUUGGAUAUUGGUAUAUGACUAGUUCGUGCUCUUGGUUGAGGUCCCGGAGGCCUUGGGGUGAUUUCGGAUGGUUGAUGGGAGGUUUUGGAGUUGAGUUUGGUAGCUGAAGUCUUAUGGUUGUUGUCAAUAACUGCAUCUGCGGUUGGGAGGCCGUAGGUGCGACUCCUGCAGAUGCGGAAGCAAGACGCAGAAGCGGCCAAAAGGCAAGUCAGGCAAAGUCAUAGAAGCGGACUUAUGGACGCAUCUGUGAUGGCACAGUUGCGAGAGAAUGACCACAGGUGCGGUCCUGAGGUUUUUUUAGUCAUUUCCGCACGUGGGGUGGAUUAGACCGCAGAAGGGGUAGCGCAGAAGCGGAGAAAGGGACCGCAGGUACGAAAUACCUAGAUCAGAAAGUAUAUAAGGUUUCCUUCGCGAAUUUUUGCUAAGUUCUCCAUUUUUGAAGACGGGAAGUGAGCUAAGGCAGUGAAUUUCAAGGGGAAAUCGAUGAGUAUCAGUUGGGUAAGCUACCUAAGCUUCAUUACUUGCGUUUAUGACCAUUUUUUCAUUGUUUAAUCAUGGUAUUAGUGGAAAUUAAGGAAGAAAAUUGAGGAAUUAGGGCUUGAUAUUGGAGAGCUUUGAGUGGGGAUUUGAGGGGCCAUUAGAGGUCCGAUUUCGAUGCUUUUGGUAUGAAUAGACUCGUGGGAGGAUAAGGAUUCUAUUGAUGUGAUUUUUGUGGAAUUUUGAGACGUGAGCCCGGGGGUCAGAUUUAGAUCAAUUUCGGGAUUUUUUUGGUAUAAUUUGAUUAUUUUGCAUGGGCUUCGUUCCCUUAGCAUAUUCUAAUGUUAUGAUUCUAAUUUUGGAUAGAUUCGGAGCGAGUUGAGGCCGAGGCAAGAGGCAAAGGCAUCGCGGAGUAAUAUUUCAUCCGGUUUGAGGUAAGUAACCAUUGUAAAUCUGUAACUGAGGGUAUAAAACCCCGGUAUUUCGUAUUGUUUUGAAAAAUGAAUUGACACACAUGAUGGGUGACGAGCGUGUGGGCGUGCACCGGUAGGGAUUGUGACUUGGUCCAUCCCGUAGCGACUAUUAAGCUGCGUAUUUGAUUUGAAAUCUUAUGAUAUCACGUAUAUUAGAGAUUGAUACUAUAUUAUGGGUUGUAUGCCAUGUUUGGGGUCCUGUGCCAACAUGUUGAGACCCUUAGGGGAAUUUUUACUAUUUUCCUCACUCUAUUUGUUUGAAAGCAUAUCCUCAGUCAUGUUUAACCUGUUUAUUUCUUUGACCUAGUUUUUGUCACUCUACUCCUUAAAAUGUGAAAAUUGUUUGGGCUGAGUUCCCUGACUUCCACUGUUAUGCCCGAGUGGCUGUGAGGUUAAUGUCUGAGAGAGGUUGAGGACCUAACGGUGAGGAUUGUUUGUUUGUGUGUGUGUAUAUAUAUAUAUAUAUAUAUAUAUAUAUAUAUAUAUAUAUAUUAUGGAUCGAGUUGUACGCUGCAGCGAUACUUAUAUGGAUCGGGAUACACGCUGCAGUGAUAUAUAUAUUGGAUCGGGCUGCACGCCGCAGCGAUAUGACGCUUGGUCAGAAGGAGCCCCUCCGGAGUCUGUACACCCCUAGUGAGCGUAGUCCACUAUAAACUAUGGAUCGGGCUGCAUGCCACAACGGUUAUUAUGAUUAUUACUAUUUUGAGAUAUUAUUGAGCCGGAGUGCUGAGUGUGAGUACUGUGUGUGAGUACUGUGUGACGAGAGCUGAGUCACGAGUGACUGAGAGGCCUGCCCGAGAGGCUAUAUUUAUGAGUGAUACAUUGCCCGAGGGGCCCAUUUAUGAUAUUUUUGAUGCUUUCAUUGUUCUUUUAUAUUGAGCCUUUGUUGAAAACUGCUAAGUAAAUGAUUUCAAAGUAUUUCAAUUGAAAACUGAAGUUUUUACGAAGUAAUUGGCUUUUAAAUUGUUGAGUUUGGUUUGAUACUUUGUUGCCUACUUUUAUAUAUGAUUUUUUUAACUGUUCGUCACUGCACUCAGACCCUAUUUACUUUAGCUACUUAUUGAGUUGGCGUACUCACUUUACUCCCUACACCUUGUGUGUAGAUCCAGGUACCCGAGCGGCAGAGUGAUGGUCCCCAGCAUUAUUGGAGCUUACCGGAGACUGCAAGGUAGCUGCACGGCGUCGGCAACCUUGCUUUCCUCCUUCCUAUCCUUGUUUUCUAAAUUUUAGUGCUUAUUAUGUAUUAGUCAGUCGGACUGGUUGUAUUUAGAGGCUCUAAACUUGUGACACCAUAUUGUUGGGCUGUGUUGAUAUAUUUUUGUACUGUUUUCCACACAUUUUAGUUGAUUUAUAUAUUUCUUAUGAAAAUUUGAG
rnacentral:lncRNA from 1 species